rnacentral:rRNA from 1 species
CAGUCGCCGCGGUAAUACGUAGGUGGCAAGCGUUGUCCGGAAUUAUUGGGCGUAAAGGGCUCACAGGCGGUUUCUUAAGUCUGAUGUGAAAGCCCCCGGCUCAACCGGGGAGGGUCAUUGGAAACUGGGAAACUUGAGUGCAGAAGAGGAGAGUGGAAUUCCACGUGUAGCGGUGAAAUGCGUAGAGAUGUGGAGGAACACCAGUGGCGAAGGCGACUCUCUGGUCUGUAACUGACGCUGAGGAGCGAAAGCGUGGGGAGCGAACAGGAUUAGAUACCCGCGUAGUCCCUGUCUCUUAUAC